rnacentral:rRNA from 1 species
AUUGAACGCUGGCGGAAUGCUUUACACAUGCAAGUCGAACGGCAGCACGGACUUCGGUCUGGUGGCGAGUGGCGAACGGGUGAGUAAUGUAUCGGAACGUGCCCAGUCGUGGGGGAUAACGUAGUGAAAAUUACGCUAAUACCGCAUACGAUCUAUGGAUGAAAGCGGGGGAUCGCAAGACCUCGCGCGAUUGGAGCGGCCGAUAUCAGAUUAGGUAGUUGGUGGGGUAAAGGCACACCAAGCCAACGAUCUGUAGCUGGUCUGAGAGGACGACCAGCCACACUGGAACUGAGACACGGUCCAGACUCCUUCGGGAGUCAGCAGUGGGGAAUUUUGGACAAUGGGCGAAAGCCUGAUCCAGCCAUUCCGCGUGCAGGAUGAAGGCCCUCGGGUUGUAAACUGCUUUUGUACAGAACGAAAAGGUUUCUACUAAUACUAGGAGCUCAUGACGGUACUGUAAGAAUAAGCACCGGCUAACUACGUGCCAGCCGCCGCCGUAA